CUGGCGGCGUGCCUAACACAUUGCCAGUUCAACGGUAAGGCCGCCUUUCGGGCGUACACCGAGUGGCGAACGGGUGAAUAACACGUGAGGAACGUGCUCUUGACUUUUGGUAUAGCACUUGGAAACAGGUGGUAAUCCCGAAUAUUCAGUUUCCCGGGCAUCCGGGUUGUUGGAAAGCUUUUUGCGGUCAGGGAUCGUCUCGCGGCCUAUCAGCUUGUUGGUGGGGUAGUGGCCCACCAAGGCCUUGACGGGUAGCCGGCCUGAGAGGGCGACCGGCCACAUUGGGACUGAGAUACGGCCCAGACUCCUGCGGGAGGCAGCAGUGGGGAAUAUUGCACAAUGGGCGGAAGCCUGAUGCAGCAACGCCGCGUGCGGGAUGACGGCCUUCCGGGUUGUAAACCGCUUUCACCCAUGACGAAGCGCGAGUGACGGUAGUGGGGGAAGAAGCACCGGCCAACUACGUGCCAGCAGCCGCGGUGAUACGUAGGGUGCGAGCGUUGUCCGGAAUUAUUGGGCGUAAAGAGCUUGUAGGCGGUUGAUCGCGUCGAUAGUGAAAUCCCAGGGCUCAACCUCGGGCUUGCUGUCGAUACGGGUUGACUUGAGGAAGGUAGGGGAGAAUGGAACUCCCGGUGGAGCGGUGGAAUGCGCAGAUAUCGGGAAGAACACCGGUGGCGAAGGCGGUUCUCUGGACCUUUCCUGACGCUGAGAAGCGAAAGCGUGGGGAGCAAACAGGCUUAGAUACCCUGGUAGUCCACGCUGUAAACGGUGGGUACUAGGUGUGGGUCGCAUUCCACGUGAUCCGUGCCGUAGCCAACGCAUUAAGUACCCCGCCUGGGGAGUACGGCCGCAAGGCUAAAACUCAAAGGAAUUGACGGGGCCCCGCACAAGCGGCGGAGCAUGCGGAUUAAUUCGAUGCAACGCGAAGAACCUUACCUGGGUUUGACAUGUACUGGAAGCGCUCAGAGAUGGGCGUGCCUUUUCGGCCGGUUCACAGGUGGUGCAUGGCUGUCGUCAGCUCGUGUCGUGAGAUGUUGGGUUAAGUCCCGCAACGAGCGCAACCCUCGUCCAAUGUUGCCAGCAGUUCGGCUGGGGACUCGUUGGAGACCGCCGGGGUCAACUCGGAGGAAGGUGGGGAUGAGGUCAAGUCAUCAUGCCCCUCAUGUCCAGGGCUUCACGCAUGCUACAAUGGCCGGUACAAAGAGUUGCGAGCCUGUGAGGGUGAGCGAAUCUCGGAAAGCCGGUCUCAGUUCGGAUUGGGGUCUGCAACUCGACCCCAUGAAGUCGGAGUCGCUAGUAAUCGCAGAUCAGCAACGCUGCGGUGAAUACGUUCCCGGGGCUUGUACACACCGCCCGUC
rnacentral:rRNA from 1 species